CCGGGUUUGACAUAUAGGUAGUAGGGAUCCAAAAGGUGACCGACCCUUCGGGGAGCCUAUACAGGUGCUGCAUGGCUGUCGUCAGCUCGUGCCGUGAGGUGUCCGGUUAAGUCCGGCAACGAGCGCAACCCCCGCCGUAUGUUAUAAGUGUCAUACGGGACUGCUGGUAUCAAGCCGGAGGAAGGUGGGGACGACGUCAAGUCAGCAUGGCCUUUAUAUCCGGGGCUACACACACGCUACAAUGGUCGGUACAAUGGGUCGCAAAGCCGCGAGGUAGAGCCAAUCCCCAAAAUCGGCCUCAGUUCAGAUUGCAGGCUGCAACUCGCCUACAUGAAGUCGGAGUUGCUAGUAAACGCGCGUCAGCAUUAGUGCGUUGAAUACGUUCCC
rnacentral:rRNA from 1 species